AAACCCCUGGACAUACCACUUGUUGCCUCGGCGGAUCAGCCCGCUCCCGGUAAAACGGGACGGCCCGCCAGAGGACCCCUAAACUCUGUUUCUAUAUGUAACUUCUGAGUAAAACCAUAAAUAAAUCAAAACUUUCAACAACGGAUCUCUUGGUUCUGGCAUCGAUGAAGAACGCAGCAAAAUGCGAUAAGUAAUGUGAAUUGCAGAAUUCAGUGAAUCAUCGAAUCUUUGAACGCACAUUGCGCCCGCCAGUAUUCUGGCGGGCAUGCCUGUUCGAGCGUCAUUUCAACCCUCAAGCACAGCUUGGUGUUGGGACUCGCGUUAAUUCGCGUUCCUCAAAUUGAUUGGCGGUCACGUCGAGCUUCCAUAGCGUAGUAGUAAAACCCUCGUUACUGGUAAUCGUCGCGGCCACGCCGUUAAACCCCAACUUCUGAAUGUUGACCUCGGAUCAGGUAGGAAUACCCGCUGAACUUAAGCAUAUCAAUAAGCGGAGG
rnacentral:rRNA from 1 species